rnacentral:sRNA from 3 species
AUAUCUCUCUGUACGGGAAGGAUGAGAAGCUUCGACUAAGGUUCGAUUCGAGCGUCAGCGAGAAAGCGUUGCCGCAGGCAACGACCCGAAGGGCGAAGCGCGCAGCGCUGAGUCAUCC